GACGAACGCUGGCGGCGUGCCUAAUACAUGCAAGUAGAACGCUGAAGAGAGGAGCUUGCUCUUCUUGGAUGAGUUGCGAACGGGUGAGUAACGCGUAGGUAACCUGCCUGGUAGCGGGGGAUAACUAUUGGAAACGAUAGCUAAUACCGCAUAAAAUUGAUUAUUGCAUCAUAAUUGAUUGAAAGAUGCAAUUGCAUCACUACCAGAUGGACCUGCGUUGUAUUAGCUAGUUGGUGAGGCAACGGCUCACCAAGGCGACGAUACAUAGCCGACCUGAGAGGGUGAUCGGCCACACUGGGACUGAGACACGGCCCAGACUCCUACGGGAGGCAGCAGUAGGGAAUCUUCGGCAAUGGGGGGAACCCUGACCGAGCAACGCCGCGUGAGUGAAGAAGGUUUUCGGAUCGUAAAGCUCUGUUGUAAGAGAAGAACGGGUGUGAGAGUGGAAAGUUCACACUGUGACGGUAUCUACCAGAAA
rnacentral:rRNA from 1 species